CCUACGGGUGGCAGCAGUGAGGAAUAUUGGUCAAUGGGCGGAAGCCUGAACCAGCCAAGUAGCGUGCAGGAUGACGGCCCUACGGGUUGUAAACUGCUUUUAUACGGGAAUAACGCGCCUUACGUGUAGGGCUUUGCAUGUACCGUAUGAAUAAGGACCGGCUAAUUCCGUGCCAGCAGCCGCGGUAAUACGGAAGGUCCGGGCGUUAUCCGGAUUUAUUGGGUUUAAAGGGAGCGUAGGCCGCAUGUCUAGCGUGCUGUGAAAUGUCCGGGCUCAACCCGGGCCUUGCAGGGGGAACUGGCGUGCUAGAGUUCGCGGAAGGCAGGCGGAAUUCGGGGUGUAGCGGUGAAAUGCUUAGAUAUGACGAAGAACACCGAUUGCGAAGGCAGCUUGCUGCAGCGGAACUGACGCUGAUGCUCGAAAGCGCGGGUAUCGAACAGGAUUAGAUACCCGAGUAGUC
rnacentral:rRNA from 1 species